GAUGAACGCUGGCGGCGUGCCUAAUACAUGCAAGUCGAGCGAACAGACGAGGAGCUUGCUCCUCUGACGUUAGCGGCGGACGGGUGAGUAACACGUGGAUAACAUACCUAUAAGACUGGGAUAACUUCGGGAAACCGGAGCUAAUACCGGAUAAUAUAUUGAACCGCAUGGAUCAAUAGUGAAAGACGGUUUUGCUGUCACAUAUAGAUGGAUCCGCGCCGCAUUAGCUAGUUGGUAAGGUAACGGCUUACCAAGGCAACGAUGCGUAGCCGACCUGAGAGGGUGAUCGGCCACACUGGAACUGAGACACGGUCCAGACUCCUACGGGAGGCAGCAGUAGGGAAUCUUCCGCAAUGGGCGAAAGCCUGACGCAGCAACGCCGCGUGAGUGAUGAAGGUCUUCGGAUCGUAAAACUCUGUUAUUAGGGAAGAACAAAUGUGUAAGUAACUAUGCACGUCUUGACGGUACCUAAUCAGAAAGCCACGGCUAACUACGUG
rnacentral:rRNA from 1 species